UCAGGAUGAACGCUAGCUACAGGCUUAACACAUGCAAGUCGCAGGGUAACAUGAGGAAAGCUUGCUUUCCUUGAUGACGACUGGCGCACGGGUGAGUAACGCGUAUCCAACCUUCCCAUAACUACGGGAUAACCCGUUGAAAGACGGCCUAAUACCGUAUGAUAUCGUUUGCUGACAUCAAAUAACGAUUAAAGGUUUAGCGGUUAUGGAUGGGGAUGCGUCUGAUUAGCUUGUUGGCGGGGUAACGGCCCACCAAGGCGACGAUCAGUAGGGGUUCUGAGAGGAAGGUCCCCCACAUUGGAACUGAGACACGGUCCAAACUCCUACGGGAGGCAGCAGUGAGGAAUAUUGGUCAAUGGGCGAGAGCCUGAACCAGCCAAGUAGCGUGCAGGAUGACGGCCCUAUGGGUUGUAAACUGCUUUUAUGUGGGGAUAAAGUGCGUGACGUGUCGUGCAUUGCAGGUACCACAUGAAUAAG
rnacentral:rRNA from 1 species